AUGACGUAACUUCCUGUUGACAUUAACGGAACGGCUGCCUGGAUGCCGCUUCUGAAGCCGAGCUGGUUCAGGGGGUCCUAUUUGCUAGUUUAGGCAGCGGUGGUAACGACGAGUUAGGAGACGUCCAGGAACUGUGAGCCUUACGUUUCAAGACGGAUUUGAUCUGUCUACAAAAUACGUCGCCAUCCUUUCCAGAUGAUCCAGUCAGCGGGCGUGGCAUUGUUUCGGCCAGGCCCGCACGGAUCCGGGGUGUAAAUUAGAAGAGUCGCCCAGAGCUAGAGGUUAUAAAGUUCCCAAAUAGAAAGGCUUUUUGUCCAACACAUUCUUAACUCGGAGACGAUGGUGUGUGAGCUCUUUCUGCUGUCCUCUGUCUGGUUCCUUUUUGUCAUCUUUUGGAUGGAAACCAUCAGCGUUUGGCUGUUCCUUUGCAACUUUUAUCAGGACCGUGCGUUUUACCACUGGGGUGAUGGGGUUCUCGCUGAUGAUCCAGGCCACAUGCUCUAUAUGUUUGGCAGGGUCGAUGGCUCUGGGAGGAUACAGACAUGAAGAUGUUCCAGAUGGUGGCAGCUGGAGGCUUGGGAAAAAAUACAGUGUACAUACCAACAUCAAGGGGGGAAAAAAGAUUGAAAAAAUUUAAAAGUUUAAUCACUAAUUCAUCUCUCCAAGUGAGCCUCUCAUCUUUUGGAACAGCAGCAGACAUGAGCGUGACGGUCGUUUUGGCGGAGGUGAAGUAGGAGGUGCAGAUGGCCAUGACCCAUUUCGGACAUUUCAAUAGCGAGCAGCACGGCGGAGAUGGUUUUGGCUGCAGAUGGUCAAAGCGGCUUCUUGCAAUACCCCCUCCCUCCCCAAUCCCAACCCCAGCCUUUGGUACCCACGGGAAACAUGACAUUUUUAAGUUCACGCCUAGCAUAGUGAUGAUCCAGAAUUGUGAUCGCCGAGAGGGCAGAAAUUUUCCGGUGAUGCUUACAGAAUUUUAGCUGAAGGUUUUGCUUUAGAAUAUGUUUGGGUAACGGCAAGCGGCUCAGUCAAGUCGUAGUUUAAUAAAAUCAAAAGCAGCCUCGUGUGGACCACACUUAAUACACACACACACACACGCGUCAGUCCAGGUACCCAGAAUAGUCAGGCGAUGAAGGCUCAUCGUGUGUUGUGUUCAGAGUAAAACGAUAUACGAAAAGUACACACGGCACAUUAUGGUAAUUUGAACUUCACAUUUUUCCUUCUAAAUUAGUAGCACCUGAGAAUUUUAUUAUUUUAUUUUUAUCCACUAAAAGAAAAUGGACAUUUCCUGAACAAUUUACAUAAUGAAGGAUUAUAAAAUGUGCAACACAAAUCACCAGCAAUAACCAAUAGUGUGCACCAAAAUUCUUUGAUAUUAUAAACUUCAUCACGCAAAUCAUUACAGAUAAAAUCGGAACAAUUGUAAUUAUUUUAUAGAUAUAUAAAAACAUUAGAAAGACAUCACUACAGAUAACAAAUUUAUGUUUGUGAGCACCUCAGCUUCUUUUUUUUUCUUCCUCCAUUGAAUGGGUGUCAUAAAAAUAAUCAAAAAUGCAAAUAUUAAAUAUUGAUUUGGGACACUUUGAUGUUGUAUGCGGAAUUAUGUGUAAAAUCUGUCAACAGUGAUAACUAAAUGACUGAAUUACUGCACUCUUUAAAUUUGGGCAUUAUAUCCUUUUCCCCACCCCCCCAGGAAAAGAUGGAAAUUCCAUUGAAAAUGCAAAUAAUUGUGUAUAAAAUCCAAAUACUUGCUUUUCCUAUGAAAAAUUUGUAAAAUGUACAUUAAGCAUCACCAAUGAUCACCAAUUUAAAUUGACGUGCGUCUCUCCUCAGUUCGUGAUGUUGAGUGUCCCGUCUCACCACGAAUGGCUGAUGUGAAUGUAUAUUUAUAUUUUCAAUGGAACUUCUGUUUUAUUAGUGAAGAAUAAAACUGCAAUACCUUUAAUUUCAUAUGGAAAUUUCUAAAACAUUCAGGAGACAUCUACAGUAACGCUAGCAACUUAAAUUAAUGCGCACCUUAAUUUUUUAUAAUUAUGAACUCCCACCCCAGACAAGGGGAUGGAAAUACCAAUACUGAGAAUUACGGAUAAAAUCGAAACGCUUUUAUUUCAUAUAAAGAAAUACCAAAAUAUGACAAAGACAUCACUAGCGAUAAUAGAGUUCUUUUAGCAUACAUUGCAAUUUUUCACAUUAUGAGCCUUUUUUCCACUGAAUGUUUAAAUUAGAAUUUCAAAUAAAAUGAAAAUUUGAAGAAUAACAUCUGAACAUUAUGAUUUUUACACAAAAAUAUAUAAAUCAUGCAAAAAGAUGUCCACAGCAGGAGCUAAUUUAAAUUAGUCUGUGCCUUAAUUCUUUAUAUUAUGACCUUUUCUUUUAUGGUUUAAUUGUGAAAAUUUUACAAAGUGGAACUUCCAUUAAAAAAUAUGCAUAUAUGCUGAAUAACAUCGGGACAUCGUUAUUUCACAUGAAAAUGUAUAAAACAUGCAAAAGAUGUCGCCAGCAUAAACCGAUUCAAAUUAGUAUGACCCUUGUUUCUUGAUGUUAUGACCCUUUUUCAUAUUGAAUGUUUAACAAAGUGGAACUUACAUAAAAAAAAUAAAAAUAGAAAAAUCCAAAGCAUUUUAUUUCAUAUGAAAAUAUAGAAGGUGAUUAAAAAAAAUCCUCAAUAACAGACUAAAAUUAGUGCGUACUUUAAUUGAUAUUAUGCACUUUCUUCUCCCUCUUUGAAACGAUUCAAAUUGCAUUGAAAAUGUAAAUUAGAAAAAUAAAUAAAAUCAAUAAAUUUAUUAAAUCAGAAAUGUAUUUCGUUAAAAAAAUGCUAUUGUCAAAAAAAAUUGGCAGCAAAUUCCAAUUUAAAUGUGAGAGUGCCUUCUGAUUCUUGACAUUAUGGCCAUUGUUGUCCACUGAAUGUUUGCUGUGAAGGUUUAACCAAGUGAAGCUUCCAUUAAAAAUGGAAAUCGUGAAUAAAAUCGGAAGAACUUUAUCUUAAAAAAUGAGACAUGAAAAAAAAAACGAAAAUUACUGACUAAAAUGAAUGUUUUAGUUGAUUAUUUUGAUUGUUUUCUAAUUGAUAUCAUAAUCUUAUUCUCCUCAAGGGGAAGGAUGCAAAUUCCAUGGAAAAUGCAAAUAAUUUGCUAAAAUCCAAACCCCAGUUAUUUUAUAUGAAAUGUUUAAAAAUGCGCAAAAGACGUCCCCAGACGAUGACUGAUUUUAAAAUGGCUUUGCCUUAGAUUUUGACAGUUAUGAAUUUGUUUUUUUUUUUUGGCCAACUUAAUGGCUCCUGGCAAUGUGUAACAAAGUAAAAUUUCUAUUAAAAAUGCAAAUAACUAAUAACAUCCAAUCACAAUUUCAUGAAAAUUUAUAAAAUGUAAGGGAUGUCAGUUGCGAUAACCGACUUAAAUUAGCAUCUAUAUUAAUUCUUGACUAUCCCCCCUCACUAAACAGUUGAGUGGUUCUUUGAUUAAUUCUUGACGUUCAGAGCGUUUUGAGUGCCACAGUCCUGUUGUGUCUUUCUGUAUUUGUGGUCCCAAUGCCUUUUCUUUAUUGUAUAAGCCGGAAAUUUCGACACUCCAUUGAAAAGAAGUGGAGGUUGUGACUGAAGAUGCUGGUGUUGUGUGUCAUGGACUCAAGUUCCAGUUAUGAGUUGUUAAUCUGCUGUCGAACAGGCUGCCGUUUUUGGGUUCACAUUACUUCAGUAAAUAACCAGAACAUGAGUUUUUUUUUUUUUUUAGGGUUGGCAGUUUUAAGUUUUGUAAUGGAGGGUUUGUGAGCUUCAGUUUAGGGCUGAGAUAUGGAUGGAGAUAUUUGGGUCGGUCUAUUAAUGGAGACCACGAGCCUCGGGGGUGCACAAUUCAAGGAAGUGUGAAAUCCCCCUCCACAGUCAGAAGGUGUGUGUCCGAGCACUCGAUGUCCUCCUUCCCGAUCCGUUAGGCUGAAAAUGAAGACAACUUUUAAAGUUAUUUGCAUUAUGCAUGAGAUGAUUGGUUGCCUGUAAAUUGUUUUUUAAGAUUGUUAAAUGUACUAGAAUGUUUUCUUCUGUAUAAAAUCAACGCAAAAACCAAGCAUUUUGUAUCAUUUGGACCUUUUUUUAAACGAGGGAAACCUAAUUGCUUUGUGAAUCAAAGAUAGAAUGCUGGAAUGAUUGUAUGGAGAGCAGUUUUUUUCUGAAGACAAAUAAAGCAAACGUGUUAUCUUUUGUA